UUGGAGGGCAGUCUGGUGCAGCAGCCGCGGUAAUUCCAGCUCCAAUAGCGUAUAUUAAAGUUGUUGCAGUUAAAAAGCUCGUAGUUGAACUUCGGGGUUUACCCAUUGGUCAGGCUUAAUUGUCUGUACUGGUGAGAUGAAUCUCUACCUUCUGAGGAACUUUCAUGCCAUUUAUUUGGUGUGAUGGGAAAUCAGGACUGUUACUUUGAAAAAUUAGAGUGUUUAAAGCAGACUAUCGUCUGAAUACAUUAGCAUGGAAUAAUGAAAUAGGACGGACUGAUUCUAUUUCGUUGGUUUCUAGGAUCACCGUAAUGAUUAAUAGGGAUAGUUGGGGGCAUUAGUAUUCAAUUGUCAGAGGUGAAAUUCUUGGAUUUAUUGAAGACUAACUACUGCGAAAGCAUUUGCCAAGGAUGUUUUCAUUAAUCAAGAACGAAAGUUAGGGGAUCGAAGACGAUCAGAUACCGUCGUAGUCUUAACCAUAAACUAUGCCGACUAGGGAUCGGACGAAGUUAAUUUUAUAAUGACGCGUUCGGCGCCUUACGGGAAAC
rnacentral:rRNA from 1 species